rnacentral:rRNA from 1 species
AUACAGAGGGUGCAAGCGUUAAUCGGAUUUACUGGGCGUAAAGCGCGCGUAGGCGGCUUAUUAAGUCAAAUGUGAAAUCCCCGAGCUUAACUUGGGAAUUGCAUUCGAUACUGGUUAGCUAGAGUGUGGGAGAGGAUGGUAGAAUUCCAGGUGUAGCGGUGAAAUGCGUAGAGAUCUGGAGGAAUACCGAUGGCGAAGGCAGCCAUCUGGCCUAACACUGACGCUGAGGUGCGAAAGCAUGGGGAGCAAACAGGAUUAGAAACCCCGGUAGUCC